CAUGUGAUCCUAAGCUUGGAUAGUGUGAUGCAUAAAUGGCUUGAAAUGUAUUUAUAUUUCCAUCUUCUUGUGGCCAAGAUUAGUCCACAAACUGUGAGUGAGAACAGCCUCAGCCUGCUUGGGAAGCUGAAUCCAGGCCAGGAUUUAGUGGCCAGGUCCAGUUCAACAUGUUGCUUUCCCUAACACCAAUUCUUCCCCUUGGAAGCUCACUAGAGUUGGAGGGCUCACAUCCUGGAAAAUUGUACUUCAUAUGACAAGAACAUUUCCUCUCAGUUAUGACUCUUUUUCAAAGAGUAGAAAUCUUCAACUUGAUGGUACUUGAUGGCAAAAGAAUGUUCACUGAAGUGUGGCAUAACGCUGUGGCUUGUUCACAUUCAAAUUUAAAGCAAUAAAAAAUAUGAAGGAGUGGAGGAAAGGGAUCUAUUUAUCACAUGGUUUAUCCACUAAAACAAUUUCAACUUGUAAGCCCAAAUUUAUUCAUGAUGUUAGUGGCAUUGCAGCACAGGAGGUUUUAUCCCUGCUGCUUUUCUUCCAUGGGUGUUGCUGUCAAAGCUUCCCAGCCACCUUGGUUAAUUCAUUCCGUGUGCCAGAUGUAAUUAUCCAAAGUUCCCCCUGCCUGCCAUGCUGGGCAACUUUGGAGUGUGCAGCUGUGAUGUCACAAGGCAGUCAUUAAUGGGAGAGUGGCUACCUGGAGGCCUGAAGGCCCAUGCCAGUGAAUCACAUUCCCAUAUGAAAGUAUUGAUUUAAUCAUUCUGAUGGCAGGCCUGUCAGAAAUGUAAUUGUCCACUGGAAGUACAAACGUGUAAAUGGACAUCCCAGCAAGAGGCAGCAAUCUUUCUAAGUAACAUUUUACAUUUAUUCAGAUCAUUCCACUUGUUUUCCUCCUCCUCGUGCCCCCAGCCUGAGUCUGUUAUUGAUAUAAAGGUUGAAGCUCAGGCAGCUUAACUGUUAUGUGGAAUGACCUUUACUUUUAAUAUUAAUACAGUAUUGUAAAGUCUAUGAGACUCAUAAAUGCAAUUUUAGAAUUCAUAUGAAAUGCCAUGUGCUGAACCUAUUGCAACUUUUCCUCUAGUCCUGUGGCAGGUUGCAAACUAUGCGAAUUAAUAUGCAUCAUAUUCUUUCCCCUUUAUUUACUUAGAGAGGUUUGCAGAGCAACUUUAUCAAGAGUAACAUUAUCAAGAGCUUUCCUGCAAGCUUCUUUAUCAUAUUCACAUCCGUGUCUGCUCGACACUUGUCACUGUCAAUCAAAUGGCAAUAAUACGCAGCUGAUUUGCUCAUUUGGUUUAAUAAAAUCUCUCUGCUUAUUUG